GGACAAUUAAAGAGUAAUUCUAGCAGUUCCUACUUAACAAUUAACAAUGGAGUGCUGAGAUGAUACUUGUCUACAACUUGUUCAAGAAUGCAUAGAAAUGACCUCCUACAACUUUAAUAUAAAUUAUUCUGAAUUUCAAGGCUAAGUAAGAUAUCACUAGAACCAUAAACACUAAUCAAAUAUGUAAAACAAAAAAAUAGAAGCAUAGUAACAACAACAACAACUACUAUCCAGUAAAUUCCCACAAAGUGAGGUGUGGGGAGGGUAAUAUGUACACGGGCUUUACCCCUACCCGAAAGGGCAGAGAGGCUGUUUCCAAUCGACCCUCGGCUCAGUGANNN
rnacentral:lncRNA from 1 species